rnacentral:rRNA from 1 species
GCUUGUCUCAAAAGAUUAAGCCAUGCAUGUAUAAGCUAAAGCUGGAAAAUAGUGAAGCCGCGGACAGCUCAUUAAUACACUCUUAAUCCUAGCAAUGCUUACCAUGAUGGAUAUCUGUGCUAAUUGUAGAGCUAAUACACGCAAAAAAGCCCGAGUUUCUUGGGAGCAUUUAUUAGAACAAUACCAAUCGGGCUCUGCCCGCUGUUGGUGAAUCUGAAUAACUGUGCAGAUCGCAGGGUCUUUGUACCGGCGACACAUUGCAGGAGUGAGUGCCUUAUCAACUUUCGAUGGUAGUUUAUAUGCCUACCAUGGUUAUUACGGGUAACGGAGAAUUAGGGUUCGACUCCGGAGAGGGAGCCUGAGAGACGGCUGCCAGUCCUAAGGGACGCAGCAGGCGCGCAAAUUACACAAUGACAGCAAACUGUUGAUGUAGUGACAAGAGAUAUCGAGGCGGUUCUCUAUGAGGCCCGUCAUCGGAAUGAGUACAAUUUAAACUCUUUAACGAGGAUCAAGUGGAGGGCAAGUCUGGUGCCAGCAGCCGCGGUAAUUCCAGCUCCAUGAGUGUAUAUUAAAGUUGUUGCGGUUAAAAAGCUCGUAGUUGGAUCUGCGACCUUAGAGAGCGGUCCCCCACAGGGUGCGUACUGCUGCUCAGGGUCUUGAUUGUCAGUUUGUCUGUGGUGCCUUUAAACGGGUGUCACAGGUGGCUGACGCGUUUACUUUGAAAAAAUUCGAGUGCUCAAAGCAGGCGCUAUCGCCUGAAGAGUGGUGCAUGGAAUAAUGGAAUAGGAUCUCGGUUCUAUUUCGUUGGUUUCGGAGCGCGAGAUAAUGAUUAAGAGGGACAGACGGGGGCAUUUGUAUUGCUGCGUUAGAGGUGAAAUUCUUGGAUCGCAGCAAGACAAACAACUGCGAAGGCAUUUGCCAAGAAUGUUUUCAUUAAUCAAGAACGAAAGUUAGAGGUUCGAAGGCGAUCAGAUACCGCCCUAGUUCUAACCGUAAACGAUGUCAACUAGCGAUUUGCCAGCGUUAAUGAUGACCUGGCAAGCAGCUUUCCGGAAACGAAAGUGUCUAGAUUCCGGGGGAAGUAUGGUUGCAAAGCUGAAACUUAAAGGAAUUGACGGAAGGGCACCACCAGGAGUGGAGCCUGCGGCUUAAUUUGACUCAACACGGGAAAACUCACCCGGCCCGGACACCGUAAGGAUUGACAGAUUGAAAGCUCUUUCUUGAUUUGGUGGUUGGUGGUGCAUGGCCGUUCUUAGUUGGUGGAGCGAUUUGUCUGGUUAAUUCCGAUAACGAACGAGACUCUGACUUAUUAACUAGUGUGCCAAUCUAACAGAUCGGUACUACUUCUUAGAGGGACAAGCGGCAUUUAGCCGCACGAUAUGGAGCAAUAACAGGUCUGUGAUGCCCUUAGAUGUCCGGGGCUGCACGCGCGCUACACUGAAGGAAUCUGGGCGUUUUGCCCUUGUCUGAAAAGACUGGGUAACCGGCCGAAACUCCUUCGUGCUAGGGAUAGGGAAUUGGUAUUAUUACCCUUGAACGAGGAAUUCCUGGUACGCUUGAGUCAUAAGCUCCAGCGGGUUACGUCCCUGCCCUUUGUACACACCGCCCGUCGCUACUACCGACUGGCAAUUUCUUUGAGGAUCGCAGACCGGCGCCAUGUGACCCUAACAGGUUCCGUGAUGCUGGAAAGUGAUCCGAAAAGGGA